rnacentral:rRNA from 1 species
GAUGAACGCUGGCGGCGUGCCUAAUACAUGCAAGUCGAGCGAACAGACGAGGAGCUUGCUCCUCUGACGUUAGCGGCGGACGGGUGAGUAACACGUGGAUAACCUACCUAUAAGACUGGGAUAACUUCGGGAAACCGGAGCUAAUACCGGAUAAUAUAUUGAACCGCAUGGUUCAAUAGUGAAAGACGGUUUUGCUGUCACUUAUAGAUGGAUCCGCGCUGCAUUAGCUAGUUGGUAAGGUAACGGCUUACCAAGGCAACGAUGCGUAGCCGACCUGAGAGGGGGAUCGGCCACACUGGAACUGAGACACGGUCCAGACUCCUACGGGAGGCAGCAGUAGGGAAUCGUCCGCAAUGGGCGAAAGCCUGACGGAACAACGCCGCGUGAGUGAUGAAGGUCUUCGGAUCGUAAAACUCUGUUAUUAGGGAAGAACAAAUGUGUAAGUAACUAUGCACGGCUUGACGGUACCUAAUCAGAAAGCCACGGCUAACUACGUG